GACGAACGCUGGCGGCGUGCUUAACACAUGCAAGUCGAACGAAGUGGCGAACGGGUGAGUAACGCGUAAUCAACCUGCCCUUCAGUGGGGGACAACAGUUGGAAACGACUGCUAAUACCGCAUACUGAAGGAGGGGAGUGCGUUUGAUUAGGUAGUGGGAGGGGAAACGGCCCACCAAGGCGAUGAUCAGUAGCCGGGCUGAGAGGAUGAACGGCCACAUUGGGACUGAGACACGGCCCAGACUCCUACGGGAGGCAGCAGUGGGGAAUCUUCCGCAAUGGACGAAAGUCUGACGGAGCAACGCCGCGUGAGUGAAGACGGCCUUCGGGUUGUAAAGCUCUGUUAAUCGGGACGCGGUACCGGAAUAGAAAGCCACGGCUAACUACGUGCCAGCAGCCGCGGUAAUAC
rnacentral:rRNA from 1 species